UAAAUAAUUAUUUAUCUUAUUUACAGACCACUGUAUACAACGGCAGGACAUAUAGAUAUGUUAGUAGACAGGCACGAAGAUAUACUAUAGAUGUAAAGAGAAGAGUUAAUCAAAUUUAUAUGAAGAGAUAACUCAAGAAUCAAGUGUACUCCGUGAAUCAUUCAACCAGAAUACACAGGUUUUGAGAUUAAACGUUAAUCGACAAAAUGCAGAACGUUUAACGCUCCCGGUCGAAGAUGAGACGAUUCUAAGUAAUUCAGAAUCAACAGCUGUUUUCCAAAACCCUGUUGACAGCUAUUUGACGAGAGACAUUGAAGAAUCGUAAUUCUUAAUAAGAUUGGCAAAUAUUCAUACUCCGUGACACGUCAUACAACUUUGCAGAGAAAAGCUCUUUUAUAUUAUGAUACUGUUUUUUCUGUAAACGAAAUGGACGAAUGUGGAUGGAGCGACAACAUAGAAAAUAUUCUUGUUUCAUUUUGAUCAAGGCUCACGGCGACGAUUCGAAAUUUCAAGACAUUUCCAUCUUCCGAAUAGGCGUCGCACGAAAUCUAGCACUAUUUUUAAACUUAGAGAGCUGUCAGGCCGAACAUUGACUUUAUUGUUCACAAUAUCAAUUUUUUCUUAUUUUAAUGAAUUGUAAUUAAAUUUCUAAAUAUAUUCUAAUUGUGUGAGCCUUUUUCCAAUUCAUCAAA